CCAACCUCUCCGAUCCAGAGGAGAAUAUUUGUGCAGAAAUUCGAGCAUUAACUAACAUGAAACAAUAACUAAUGUUAUGAACAAUGCAAUCAAAAGAGUCAGACUUUGCCAAGCAGAAAAUGGAGCUCAUUUAACCCCUUAAGGACUGGACUGUUUUUGCGAUGUUGUACAUUUGCGACCAGGCCUCUUUUUACACUUUUGUGGUGUUUGUGUUUAGCUGUAAUUUUCCGCUCUCUCAUUUACUGUUCCCAUACAAAUUAUAUAUUGUUUUUUUUCAGGACAAAAGGGGCUUUCUUUACAUACCAUUAUUUAUAUAAUCUCAUGUAAUUUAAUUUAAAAA